UACGUAGGUGGCAAGCGUUAUCCGGAAUUACUGGGCGUAAAGGGCUCGUAGGUGGCCAACUAAGUCAGACGUGAAAUCCCUCGGCUUAACCGGGGAACUGCGUCUGAUACUGGAUGGCUUGAGUUCGGGAGAGGGAUGCGGAAUUCCAGGUGUAGCGGUGAAAUGCGCAGAUAUCAGGAGGAACACCGGUGGCGAAGGCGGGUCUCUGGGCCGAUACUGACGCUGAGGAGCGAAAGCGUGGGGAGCGAACAGG
rnacentral:rRNA from 1 species